rnacentral:lncRNA from 1 species
AUAUUUAUGAAGAUAAUUGAAUGUAAAAAUGCAUAGUCUGACUAGUUGGUAUGUAUUUGUAUGAAUAUAAGAAGAAAACACUGCUCCGUCGUGAGAACUUUAGUUGAAUAAAAGUAUAGCACAAGCGAAACACUGAUUAUUAGAAAAUGAUUAUCUUAGGCUUACAAUUAUUUAUUAUAAUUAUGUGUGCGAAGAAAGAUAACUGCAAUUUGUUUUAUACACAUAGGUAUAAUGGUUGAUAGCCGAAUGUACCAGUAGAUUUUUACUUAUAAUGAUAUUUGAAUGUCACAUGUGUGUUUUUAAUUCCUUGUGCUGUGUUCAUAUUCAUAUAGCCCUAGCAACCACGGUAACUCAUCUGUAAGGGUUUUAUAAGUUAUCGGCAUUUACAGGAACUAACAAAGUACCGAAUUAAGACAUCACUCAAAAACAAAUACACCCACAACGUAUGUUACCAUAUCAAUUGAAACGACAAGGAAAAAACACGUUAUUUAAGGAAUGACUGUAAUAUUUUUUUCUGUCUAUGAAAAUUUGGUGCACAUUGAAUAAUGCGCUUAGCGGGUUAUUUAACAGUGUACGUGCACCACAUUUUUAAUGUUAUUUCGAAUAGACAGAAAAAUAUUACAGUCAUGUCUUAUUAUUUAAUUCUAAAUUCCAUUUUAAACCGUAGAAAACCAUGAAAAAACGUUGAUGACGUCACAGUCACAUGACAAAAUUAUGUCUAUGGGCUGAUAACAAAAUAACGUCACCCAAUCAGAAGACGCGUCACAUCCAAAGUUAAAUCAUUUACAAAUGGUUAGAUUUUUCAGAUUUUUAAAAUCUGUUUUUGAGUGAAACGUAUCGAAGAAGACUGAAUAUUUGUAAUGUUUAUGAGUAUAUGUACAUGUAUCUGAUUGUUUUCCCGGUGUCAGUGUGAGAGAAUGGGUUAUAUGAUUGGGUAAUUUGAUAAAGUGUAUUGUACUGUCUUGUAUUUUAAGAUGUACUUAAAAAUAUAUUACAUGUAUGUCCCCUAUUCCCUUAGCAUUAUAAAUUCCCGAUUUAUCUUAAAUCUGCUAGGAAAAUUACAUCCCAAUGUUUAUCUAACUAGAGAGCGUGUACUAAUAAUAGACUUAAUGUAUUUUGAAAUG